rnacentral:misc_RNA from 1 species
AAAAUGCGAUAUGCAAUGUGAAUUGCAGGACUCUAUGAACCAUCAGAAUUCUGAACGCAAAUUGCACUUGUAUAUUCUGUAUACAAGUAUGUCUGCCUCAGCGUCGUAUAAAUAUCUAAACAGGGUAUGCGGUUCAAUUGGUAUGGUAUUAAUUGAUGCUAUACAGCUGGUAUUAAUACAUAUGCCACUUUGAAUUUGCUAUUAUCUUGUUUGUUAUGGAUGUCAUAUUGAUUUCGAUAUGUCAUCUGAAAUGCAGUACAUUCGUACAUUACUACUAGAUAUAGUAAAUCCUGUAUCUAUGCAGUUUUGUGCAACAGAAUGUAUAUUUCUUUAACCAUUCGACCUGAGUUUAGGCAAGAUUACCCGCUGAAUUUAA